GGACAAGGACAGGGUUAUAGUGACAGGGUUAGGGAUAUAGUGACAGGGUUAUAGUGACAGGGUUAGGGAUAUAGUGACAGGGUUAUAGUGACAGGGUUAGGGAUAUAGUGACAGAGUUAUAGUGACAGGGUUAGGGAUAUAGUGACAGGGUUAGGGUUAUUGUGACAGGGACAGGGUUAUAGUGACAGGGUUAGGGUUAUAGUGAUAGGGUGAGGGUUAUAGUGACAGGGUUAGGGCUAUAGUGACAGGGUUAGGGUUAUAGUGACAGGGACAAGGACAGGGUUAUAGUGACAGGGUUAUAGUGAAAGGGUUAGGGAUAUAGUGACAGGGUUAGGUUAUAGUGACAGGGUUAUAGUGACAGGGUUAGGGUUAUAGUGACAGGGUUAGGGUUAUAGUGACAGGGUUAGGGUUAGUUUGACAGGGUUAGGGAUAUAGUGACAGGGUUAGGGUUGUAGUGACAGGGUUAGGGAUAUAGUGACAGGGACAGGGUAAUAGUGACAGGGUUAGGUUAUAGUGACAGGGUUAGGGUUAUAGUGACAGGGUUAGGGUUAUAGUGACAGGGUUAUAGUGACAGGGUUAGGGUUAUAGUGACAGGGACAGGGACAGGGUAAUAGUGACAGGGUUAGGGUUAUAGUGACAGGGUUAGGGUUAUAGUGACAGGGUUAGGGUUAUAGUGACAGGGUUAGGGUUAUAGUGACAGGGUUAGGGAUAUAGUGACAGGGUUAGGGUUAUAGUGACAGGGUUAGGGUUAUAGUGACAGG
ensembl:lncRNA